UGCCAUUGACCCCGUCCUGCUGUCAGUUCAUUUGUGGGCCACAUCCUGACUGACGGCAGGCCAUUCUUGCAUUAUAAAGGCUUGAAGUUUUUGUUUGUCCACCUGCCUCUCGAGGAUUGACCACUCAAUGGGAUUAAGGUCUGGGGAGUUUUCGGAAUACGGUCAUUCUCAAAACGAAUGGCCAUGGCUGUUCAACCUGAUGCAUUUAUCAUCUGUUAGUAGAAAUUGUCUAUGCAUUGUGUGUGUAUUCAUUAUUCAACGUAACAUUUCUUGUGGUGGUCGUUUGUUUCAGAUUAUGAAGCUAUUGUGAAGCUGUCAGACGGUUUCAACGGCGCUGAUCUGAGGAAUGUGUGCACAGAAGCAGGUUUGUUUGCUAUCCGCGCUGACAGAGAGUACGUCACUCAAGAGGACUUCAUGAAAGCCGUGCGGAAGGUGGCGGAUUCCAAGAAGCUUGAAUCCAAGCUGGACUACAAGCCUGUAUAAAUCAAAUGUCAUUGGCCUUUUCCCAUAUUUUCAUUGAUUUGCUGUGUUUGUUCUCCAGGUUACCAAUUUAGUGAUUUUUACUGAGUAACCCCUGUUUUCCCUUUAAUUAGUACAUAAGAAUUAGCUCAUAAAGGCUGAUCAUUCUCCCAUCUCACAGAACAUCUGUUAAAAGAAACUUGUACUAAAAAUACACUGUUAUAUGGAAAGUCCUUGUUUUUUAUUCUUUGAUCUCAUUGCCAUAAAGUGAGUGUGAUGGAUAUUCAGCAACCCACUGACUGCAUUUUGCAAAACCCAUUAAAGGUAAACAUUACACAACAUUGAAAGUAGUGUAAGUGGCUGCAACAACAAGAGCUGUUUGAAUUCUCUAAACGCUAAGGCAGGAGCUUCAAUGCUUCCCUACUUGGCUCCUUUAGCAGAGGAACCGCUGGACCAUCCUUUACAAAAGGAAAGGAGAUGAUUCCAUCGCAUAAUCCCUUGCGCCGGCAACAUUUAAAUAGUGAUCAUUUGGCGUUCACGAGGGGAAAAAAAAGGAUCAUGACUGAGAAACGCAGACUCAUUUAUUCUGCAUGACUCAGCACUGUAGCAGCUCAUGAACCGAUUUCGCCGCUGCACACUGAUGUCACGAACAUGCUUCUCCCGUUAGUUUGGUGAAAGCAGUCGGAUUACUAAUGACUAGGGGUGUAACCAUUCAUCCACUGAAUCAAUCGAUUUAUAUUCCUGCGAUCCAACUGAAUCGAUCUGUGCUCCGCAAAUCUGCAUUCCGAUUACAUAUCGAUUGAAAUGGUGCAUAAUUGAUUUCUAUCGAUACUUGGAAACUGCACAUUGGAUUUAAGCACAAAACCGGUAUGGAUGUGUUUGUUUGUUUUUUGGCAAUUUAGACA